AAAUCACUUUGGUUUGGAAUGGGUGGAUGUUCUUGUGUGGGCACACCUCAUUUUCUUUGAGAAAUAUGUCAAUGUCUUAGUGCUAUUUAAUUCAUUAUUCUGUUUUCCAGAAUCAGCACAUGCACAAAUCAGUGUGGUCAAAGAGUAGGCAUCACAGUAGAGUGUUGGAUACCUCUGUCAUCAGCUCUGCCACCACAUUAGCGGGAUCUCCUGUAAUAGCCUAGUCUUCUGCAGUGGAAAGAUGGAGAGAAGGCACAAGGCAGACCCGGGGUCUCCAGGCCCAUGUGCUGUCCUCUUGGCCACAUACAGCACCAUGCAGAAACAUCAACAACAUUUGUCUGAGUUGUCAGAGGGAGGCUCUUGCUGGCUCUCCGUGAGCUGCCUUUGAACAACGUUUCACACAAGGCGCUCUCCUGCUCCCAUGCCAAGAAGCAAGGAGCCUGGGGGCCUCCGAGGGCCACCAGAAGAAGUUGCCACCGGGUGUAGUGGAAAAUGUCUUGGCUGCUAUUACUGGAGAGAAUUUAUUACCCAAUAAUAAACAGCUAUUCACAGCUAUUCCA
rnacentral:lncRNA from 1 species